GACGAACGCUGGCGGCGUGCCUAAUACAUGCAAGUCGAACGGAAAGGCCCUGCUCUUGUGGGGUGCUCGAGUGCCGCACGCGUGAGUAUCACGCGAGUAACAUGUCCUUGACUUUGGGGGAACAUCUGGGAAAACGGGCUAUUAUCCCAUAUAAGCUCUUGAUGCACGGUGGGGGUUGGUAAGAUUCGGCGGUUGGGGAUGGACUCGCGGCUUAUCAGCUUGUUGGUGGGGUAGUGGCUUACCAAGGCUUUGACGGGUAGCCCGCCUGAGAGGGUGACCGGGCACAUUAGGACUGCGGGACGGCCCAGACUGCUACGGGAGGCAGCAGGGGAAAAUCUUACGCAAUAGGCGGGAGCCUGAGACAGCGACGCCGGGUGCGUAAUGACGGCCUUCGGGGUAUAAACCGCUUUCGACUGUGACGAAGCGUGAGUGACGGUAAUGGGUAAGAAAGCACCGGCUAACUACGUG
rnacentral:rRNA from 1 species